rnacentral:lncRNA from 1 species
UGCUAUCAUGCUUGUGCUUGUGUGUUAAACAAUUCUACUCAGAUAUUUAUAACAUGCUUUGAAUAUAAUGAAAUAAGUAUUGCAGAGUUAGAAAGAAUUCAUACCUGAGAUGUGCAAAGUGAAUCAUCUUCAGAGAAUGCUUGGAUAGCCAGAUAACCAUAAUCAUCCUUCUCAUCAGCAAUUGAUCCAUCUCACACCUUUCCUAAAAUAGCAUAAGAACUUGUUGUGAUGUUUCUUUCAAAACAUCCACUUGAAUUUCAGACAAGCCCUAUCAUCCUUGUUUGUCGAGGCAUCAAAUAUAUAUAUAGCAACCCUUCUUUGCUAAAAAUACCAAUCAAUAUUGUGUGUACUGACCAAUUCAGUUUUCAAUAAACCUGUCGAACUGAACCCCGAAGAGUCUCCACUUGAAACCAAUGGAUUCCAUCUGAAUCUGACAUGACUAAACCUCUCAGACAGUGUUAUGCUAAUCCUUGAAGUUCUGUCCUCACAUUCUUCAAAAGUGUUAACUUUCGUCGACUUGAGCUUCCUCAAAUUCAGCAGUUACAAACUCUUCUGUUCAAUCCUAAGGUUCUGACAUAAAUGCACGAAACUGAUUUGGUGCGGUAGUAACUCGAUAAUUAUAUCCUUAAACCUCCACAGUUCUCUGUCUUUGGUUCAGUUGAUUCUGGAUGGAUUUAGCAUUGAUACAAUUCACUGUGUAAUUGUAUAUCCCUGAAUCACUGAGUUAGAUUUGAAUCCCUUGAAGAUUCGUCCAUAAAAACUUCUCUUUUCCUACUACCAGUGGUGCCAUUCAAAGUUGACAUUCCGAGCCCUGGAAAGAUGCUUCACUGCAGAUGUAGCAAAUUCCCAUCCUGAUCUGGUGAUCUGAUAAUCAAGUCGGAGUAAUUACUCAGAUCAAGGCCUGAAGUACCUUCUUCA